AAACGAAAAUUUUGGUUUAAAUGUCACUCCUAGACGUCACACUCCCAGCGCCCGGGCCCCACCUUUCUAUAUCUCUCGCUCUGAUUUUCCCUCAACGCUCGCCGGCGUCUCUCCCCCGUCCGAGCAGCAAUGGCCGCCGUUUUUGUCCCAAAAUGUUCCCCUGCUUUUCCUCUACCUAUUCUAUCAAAAUUAAGCCCAUCCUACCGCAGUGGAAAACGGUGGCUCGUUCGAAAGAAAUCCCAGAAAUAGCCGCCGAUUUCGAGCUAUUUUCGGUGGCGGUUGCCGUUGCCACCUAUUAGGUUUUGAUCCCCGCCCUCGAAGGAAGCUAAUCCACCAAAGAGCCCCCUCAUUGGUCCACCGGUGACGGAGAAUCGAAGCUGGAUAUUUUUCACAGCCACCGAAGCUUUUCCGGUGAGAUUUCGGAAAAUCCGGCCACCAUCAACCGUCGACCCAGUGAUACUCAGAUUCACCCAUAGCAGCCGUAUAUCUGGAAAGGGACGUUUGUGGAAGUGGGCAAAGGAAUAUCACCGAACGUUGAACAAGUUUUGGAAUUACUGUUGAAUAAGGAAGAGUUUCUGGCUUUUGCACCAGACACCGAAGAAACAAGGUCAAUGAUUAACAUAAUAUCGGUUAAAUUUCCCCUCUUGAAGAAUGUUUCUAGAGUUUACAAAGAUGAACAGGAGCUGGAAACCUAUAUAGGCUCAGAUCUCUAUGGUACCUGCAAUCAAAUAAUGAAUUGCUCGAAUCCAAAAAUCAAAGGAGCAGUAGUAUUUCAUGACCAAGGUCCCCAAUUUUUUGAUUAUAGCAUACGUCUCAAUCACAUGGGCUUUCUCAAGAUUUCCUGACGUUAAAUCCAUCAUGGACACAAAUGGUCCCUAACUUAAUGACUUGGAACUGGGAGAAAAUACAGUACCAACAAUGCAAUACAGCUUCAGCGGUUUCUUAACUUUCCAGCAAGUUCUGGAUUCCUUUAUAAUUUUUGUGCCCCAACAAUCUGACACCAAAAAUAUAGAACUUCCUUCAUCUUUGCCCUCUGGCUAACCUUCCUCUCUUAAUGUGCCAUGGACGAGUUAUGGUCUGUCAAACAUUCAAAUAGUCCCAUUUCCAACUCGUGAAUACACUGAUGAUGAGUUCCAGUCCAUCAUAAAAAGUGUCAUGGCUGUAUUGUAUAUUUUGGGAUUUCUCUACCCAAUUUCUAGAUUGAUCAGCUAUUCUGUGUUUGAGAAGGAACAGAAGAUAAGAGAAGGUCUUUAUAUGACGGGGGUGGAGGAUGGGAUACUCCAUCUCUCAUGGUUUAUUGCAUAUAAUUUGCAGUUGACGGAGAAUUUCGGGAUUUUUGCCAUGAUUCCUCUUGGAAAAGGGUCUAAGAGUAAAAGUUGUUCUCCUUGAAGAGCUUAUGCUAGUGGUAUAUUGCUUGUGCCAAUCUGGCCACUCCUCAAGCCACCAAUCGCUACUGAAGGUGAGUGAACUGCUUAGUGGUGCCCCACUUUGCUUUGUAAUUGUCCCUGCAUCGUCUGAAGCACGAUGAUAAACUUGGAUUGGUGAGAUUUCGUCGUUUGAUAGGCGAACGAAGUUUCGCC